UGAAUGGUGUAGGAUCAAAGCAAAACCCACUCCACAUAAUUUUUACACACACAAACCAACUUCUUGCCGCCAUGUGGACUUUACUAUUCUCUCUCCCUCUCUCUCUCUGAACACUGUCGCUAUCUUAACUAAAAAGCGAUGAGUUCAUCCCCGUCAAGGAAUCCGACGUCCGCCGAAGCACCACCAUCGACGGAUGUGGCUGUGGAGGGUUCCUCGAAGAAGGUGAGGAAACCUUAUACCAUCACCAAGUCCAGGGAGAGCUGGACUGAGGAGGAGCACGAUAAGUUUCUUGAAGCGCUUCAACUGUUUGAUCGUGACUGGAAGAAGAUAGAAGAUUUCGUGGGCUCCAAGACAGUGAUUCAGAUAAGGAGUCAUGCUCAAAAAUACUUUUUAAAGGUUCAGAAAAACGGGACAGUAGCACAUGUGCCACCCCCUCGGCCAAAGCGCAAAGCAGCUCAUUCCUACCCUCAAAAGGCAUCUAAGAACGCUCCAAUGCAGCUUCAAGUUUCAACUUCUUGGGAUGACGCAUCAGUGCUGAUAAACAGAGUUAUUUCACCACAGCACGAACAUGCUACUCUUCUUGGAGCACAAGAUGAUAUUGGACCUAAGGGUAUAUUAAAUGUUAGUAGCCCUUCGACCUCCGGUGUGGGAAGCUCAAGCCGAACUAUAUCAUGUUCUGAGGUUGUAGCAAAACAACCUCCAGCGCUUCACGGUGUUCCUGAUUUUGCUGAAGUUUAUAGCUUCAUCGGGAGUGUGUUUGAUCCCAAAACGAGACUGGAUCACGUUGAAAAGCUCAAGCAAAUGGAUCCUAUAAAUUUCGAAACUGUUUUGUUACUGAUGAGGAACCUCAUAGUUAACUUAUCAAACCCUGAGUUCGAAUCCUCUUUGGUGGUCCUUAUCGUUUCGUGAUCAAAUAUAAUCUUAACCUUAGCUAGUCCGACUGUAAUGAUGCUGCAGAGGAAAGCACUCUCAUCAUAUGAGGUGAACACCGAGCUCCCAAGCGUUACCACUGGCUCAUUUUGCCCCAACUCAACAAGCGACAAAUCAUCUUAAGAAAGGUUUACUAGUUGGUUUUCCAUCUUUAAUAGACUUUGAGGUAUACGACACUGGGAAUCACUAUCUUGUCAAGUGGGGCUUGUGUGUAAAGUGUUUAAUACGGUUUGUUUUUUUUUUGAGGAGAAGAAACAUUGAGUGAAGUUUUUGAGCUUCAGGGUUUUGACCAGGACUAGUUCAGUGAGGUUUAAUAUAAAUAUAUAAUGGGUUUUCCAUUUUCUACUAGUUAUUGGUCUUCAAGCUGCGGUUGGUGGUCAGUGGUUGAAAAGCAGCCUCAUUCUCAUCAGCCGGUUAACUCUUGUACAAAAAUCUCCUUACAUUUUUGUUGCUGUGUGUUUUUUUAUAUGUUCAUCUGUUGAGUAAAUCUCUAGUUUGAUU